rnacentral:rRNA from 1 species
UACAGAGGGUGCGAGCGUUAAUCGGAAUUACUGGGCGUAAAGCGCGCGUAGGCGGUUUUGUAAGUCGGGUGUGAAAUCCCCAAGCUUAACUUGGGAACUGCAUUCGAGACUGCAUAGCUAGAGUAUGGGAGAGGGAAGUGGAAUUUCAGGUGUAGCGGUGAAAUUCGUAGAUAUUCGCAAGAACACCAGUGGCGAAGGCGGCUCACUGGCCCGAUACUGACGCUGAGGCACGGAAAGCUAGGGGAGCAAACCGGG